rnacentral:tRNA from 1 species
GGGGCCGUAGUUCACUUGGGAGAACGCCACACUGGCAGUGUGGAGGUAAGGGGUUCGAAUCCCCUCGGCUCCACCA